AUCCCCUGGGAAUCGUGUUAAAAUGCAGAUUCUGAUUUAGCAGGUCUGGGACCUGAGAUUCUGCAUUUCUACCAAGCUCCCAGGGAGGCUAA
rnacentral:pre_miRNA from 1 species